rnacentral:sRNA from 1 species
UAAUAUAUAUAUAUAUAUAUAUAUAUAUAUAGUUGAUACAUUUAUACAAUUAUUAAUUUAUGAUAUUGAUGGGACCAUAUAUUUACAUAGAUUUC